rnacentral:rRNA from 1 species
UACGAAGGGGGCUAGCGUUGCUCGGAAUCACUGGGCGUAAAGCGCACGUAGGCGGACUCUUAAGUCGGUGGUGAAAUCCUGGAGCUCAACUCCAGAACUGCCUUCGAUACUGGAAGUCUCGAGUCCGGGAGAGGUGAGUGGAACUGCGAGUGUAGAGGUGAAAUUCGUAGAUAUUCGCAAGAACACCAGUGGCGAAGGCGGCUCACUGGCCCGGUACUGACGCUGAGGUGCGAAAGCGUGGGGAGCAAACAGG